ensembl:lncRNA
AGGGGCGUGCUCCAGGGCUGGGCUCCAGCCUGCGCAGUCCGGGGGAUGACACUAGGGGGCAGCGAGGGGUAGCGGGAACCACGUCCUGGAGGGAAGACCCUCCGACCUGCCAGAUGAAGUGCGGGCGCGCUGGGCGCAGCGGCCGGGGUAUCACGGAGGGAGGCAGCCUCCCGCGGGCUGAGGGGGCGAGGAGGGGCCAGCGGGCCCGCAUCCUAGGCUACGCAAGCGGCCGCUUGCCGCUCCCGCGCCAGCAGAGGUCCCGGGUCCUCCAUCUGCUUCCAAGCACAGGCGCAGCGGCUCCGCGUUGACCCACAUUCCCUCCAGCCGCGGAGCCGGGGGCGGGGAAUCCACCGGCCGCGGAGCAGGAGAUCCUGGUAAGGAAUACUGAACUAAUAAGCCACCACCAACCGGAAGAGUUCGGGAAAGGUCAAAAGGAGACACCGCGAGUCCGUCCACUUCCCAGAAUCCCUCUGGCUAGCAUCCAUCUUGGCUGAAUGAUGCGUGUGCCACCAGGAAAGACUCUGAAUUACAACAAUUGGUCAAAGACAACCCGGAAACUAAUCCCAUCACCAUAAAACCCGAGACUGUGAGUCACAUGGCAGAGCAGUUCUCCUGAGUUCCCUUACCCUACUGCUCUCAAUACAAUCUCUUGCUAUGUCAGCACAUGUGUCUCCUUGGACAAUUCAUUUCCGAGUGUUAGACAAGAGCCCAGUUUCGGGCCCUGGAAGGGGUCCCCCUUCCUGCAACAUAUUGACCCCCUUUCUCCCUCCUCACUCCCACUUCCAAGGUAGCCACUGUUCAUGGCCAAGGAGGUACAGCUGGAUCAAUCGGCAUUCAUGUGUUUUAAUGUGCUUGGUGUAGAAAUGAGAUCAGGAUAGUAUAAGACCUACUGGGCAGUGACUGGUCCCCAAAAGCCAAGCAGCUCUGAGCGUUUUGCAUGCAGUAACUCAUUUGUUCCUGUAGACUUAAAAAAUAGUGACAACAUAAAGUUUGACAGUUAUGUUUUAUUUGGUGGGAAUUUUUAGGACUGACUUCCCUGGUGGACUUCCCUGGUGGCUCAGACGGUAAAGCGUCUGUCUACAAUGCGGGAGACCUGGGUUCGAUCCCUGGGUUGGGAAGAUUCCCUGGAGAAGGAAAUGGCAACCCACUCCAGUACCCUUGCCUAGAAAAUCCCAUGGAUGGAGGAGCCUGGUG